UGCUCGAGUGGCUAACGGGUGAGUAACACGUGAGUAACCUGCCCUUGACUUUGGGAUAACUUCAGGAAACUGGGGCUAAUACCGGAUAGGAGCUCCUGCUGCAUGGUGGGGGUUGGAAAGUUUCGGCGGUUGGGGAUGGACUCGCGGCUUAUCAGCUUGUUGGUGGGGUAGUGGCUUACCAAGGCUUUGACGGGUAGCCGGCCUGAGAGGGUGACCGGCCACAUUGGGACUGAGAUACGGCCCAG
rnacentral:rRNA from 1 species